AUCCUCCAUCUAUCUAUUCAGAGCAUGCUAGGUGCCGGGGUACUAGGUCCUGGUGGUGGACAGCAAAGUAAGACAGGAGAUAUCCUCGCUGUCAUAGAGCUGCUUGUGGAGAUGGCGAGGGGGCAGGGGGAGCAGCUAAAUUAACCGAGCUGUUCUAUCAGAUAGAACUGGUGUAAAGCGAGCUGGUGUGGUGGGGAAUGAGAUGGGAGGAAGGGGUAUGUGGCAGAGAGAGUCAGAAAACCCCUGAGGAGGCAGACUGAUCUUGGAAGGCCAAUGAAGCAGGGUGAGGAGGGGUCGCAUUGGCAGAACAGCAAACAGGACUGAGCUCAUUCUGCAGUGAGAGGGCAUCAAUAUGAAGGAAAGCCAGGAAACUGGAGGCCAAGAGGGGGUGCUCAGAGGGAGGUGCGAGGGGUGCUGCUGACAGGGUGGCAGGUGUGAGGUGAAGACAGAUGAGUCCUGCUCACAGCCCAGAGGCUCCUGACCUCAGCCCUCAGGGCUCACCUCAGCUUCUAAGCUCUCAGAUCUGUGAAUAUCAAAUAUCACCAACAUGUUGAUGGCCACCUUCACUCCUGAUGUAAUAACCAUGUCUACAACGUUCAUCCCCUGGCCCUGUCUGCACAGCCUUACCUGUUUGCCUGGUUCUGCCUUAAAGUUCUCAGGGUUCGUUCCCACAAUGCCUCUCUGUCCCGGCUUGUAUGGCACCAAGACAGAUCUGUGGACCCUGUGUAAUUCUGUCACCUUUCUAUUGCCAUCCCCCAGGGCUGCUGGUGUUUUGGGACCUCUCUCCUUUCUUUCUCCCAGUACUCUCAGUGGCCCUGACUUGACACUCAUUCCUUUAAAAAAAAAAAAAAAGAUG
rnacentral:lncRNA from 1 species